GGAGCGAUAUUACCACAGUAAUCUUACAAUCAGAGGGGGAGCUGUAGAGCAAGCUGACCUUGAAGAGUUUAACCUGCCAAUCAAAGGAGAGAUUCUGCUCCGUGACGGGCGGCGGGGCAGAACGCAGAGACCCAGAUGUGUCAGCCGGGCCCGCGAUGCGCCCGUCACUUUUCCAAACUCGACUUGACGAGAUUUAGAAGUGCUUCGUGCGACGUGGCCGGUUUCCACCGCUGAGGCCACAACGUUCUAAACCAAAUGCCCCCUUUUGCAGGAAAGCGCGACGUCACGGAAAUUAGCGGGUUUUGAGGUCACGGGACGCGCCCGUAGCAGGAGGCUUAAUCUGAGUCCUUUGACCUUCCGCCCGCGUGUCUCCAUCCGCAAAUGCGAUGCUUUGGCAACCGCCUUCCCAGCGCGGCUCCGUGCGUGCACAUAAGGCGAAGCUCUCGGUGCAUCGGCCUCCACCGGGCUCGCCAUCUGCUCGGGGGGGGGAGGACACACUUCCACUGGUCAAGCAGAGAGGAUAUUUAAAGCUCACACUCAACACUCCUCGGGGCUGUUGUUCCAUUUCGCCUCAUUUCUUCGGAUUCCUCCUCCUCAUUUCAUUUCGGUCCGACGAGCAGCCCUCAUCCUCCGCUGUCACGAGCAAAGUUUCACCACCGCGAGCUGGAAACGUUACAACGUGCCGCGAUUGGCGUUUUAGAAAAAAAGGGAGAAAUAAAGUGCAUAAAGUCUUACGGGGAGAAGCGCUGCACCUGGGGGAGUCAAAAGAAGAGGGAGCAGACAGCAGCAGCUGUGGCAUCGGUGGACGGUUUGUUCUGUAGCGACACAACUGUCUUCCUCCCCCUUCUGCUUUUGAUGGCUGCUCACUGGGGGAAUAAUUACGAACCCCAGAGAUCACUUUGAAUGUUUAACUCACCGCAUGUGGAGGCAGUCGCUCGAAAUGACAACAGCCGGGGGGGGGGGAGGGCUUAGUUUUAACGAAAGGUAAGUGCUUAAAAAUAUGCAAACUCUAGUCUGCUGAAUAGUCCUCUUGGAAAAAGCUGCUUUUAUCAUUGCACGGGCGCGUGCCUUUUCGCUGUGAUGCGCCUCUGCAGGUCACCCCGCGUCUGCAGUGAUGCCGCCCCCCCCCCCAACCCUAAAGCCACCAGGACGAGGAUCGCAAUAUCCCCGGCGUGCGGCUUUAUUCCCGCGGGGGCGUGCUGUCCCGCGCGGACGGACGCUGCCCUCUGAGCAAACAAGAUUACGGUGAUGAGCAGAGGCGGGCUGGUUUGCUCCUCGUGUCAAGGUGCUUUAGGGGUGACUCGCCGUCGGCGAAGAGGAGAAAACUUUGGAGACGAGGCGCAGUCGACCUCCGGUUCGGACGUAGUCGGCAAAUGGGGGGGGAGGUGGGGGGGGGGGGUCUCUUUAGCAGCCUUUCUAAGCGCGUGGGAAUAGUAGAUGUCGGCGUGCGUCCGGAGCGCCACCUGAGGGCGGCCUCCAUCUCGGCCCGCCGCUCCUUCAGGG
ensembl:lncRNA